GUCAGGUAGAGAAUACCAAGGCGCUUGAGAGAACUCGGGUGAAGGAACUAGGCAAAAUGGUGCCGUAACUUCGGGAGAAGGCACGCUGAUAUGUAGGUGAAGUCCCUUGCGGAUGGAGCUGAAAUCAGUCGAAGAUACCAGCUGGCUGCAACUGUUUAUUAAAAACACAGCACUGUGCAAACACGAAAGUGGACGUAUACGGUG
rnacentral:rRNA from 1 species